rnacentral:rRNA from 1 species
AACGAACGCUGGCGGCAGGCCUAACACAUGCAAGUCGAGCGGGGACUUCGGUCCUAGCGGCGGACGGGUGAGUAACGCGUGGGAACGUGCCCUUUGCUUCGGAAUAGCCCUGGGAAACUGGGAGUAAUACCGGAUGAGCCCUUUGGGGGAAAGAUUUAUCGGCGAAGGAUCGGCCCGCGUUGGAUUAGGUAGUUGGUGGGGUAAUGGCCUACCAAGCCGACGAUCCAUAGCUGGUUUGAGAGGAUGAUCAGCCACACUGGGACUGAGACACGGCCCAGACUCCUACGGGAGGCAGCAGUGGGGAAUCUUAGACAAUGGGGGAAACCCUGAUCGAGCCAUGCCGCGUGAGCGAUGAAGGCCUUAGGGUUGUAAAGCUCUUUCAGCUGGGAAGAUAAUGACGGUACCAGCAGAAGAAGCCCCGGCUAACUCCGUG